rnacentral:rRNA from 1 species
UUGAACGCUGGCGGCAUGCUUUACACAUGCAAGUCGAACGGCAGCACGGGGGCAACCCUGGUGGCGAGUGGCGAACGGGUGAGUAAUAUAUCGGAACAUAUCCGGGAGUGGGGGAUAACGUAGCGAAAGUUACGCUAAUACCGCAUAUGCCCUGAGGGGGAAAGUGGGGGAUCGCAAGACCUCACGCUUUCGGAGUGGCCGAUAUCGGAUUAGCUAGUUGGUGGGGUAAAGGCCCACCAAGGCGACGAUCCGUAGCUGGUCUGAGAGGACGACCAGCCACACUGGGACUGAGACACGGCCCAGACUCCUACGGGAGGCAGCAGUGGGGAAUUUUGGACAAUGGGGGCAACCCUGAUCCAGCCAUGCCGCGUGAGUGAAGAAGGCCUUCGGGUUGUAAAGCUCUUUCAGACGGAAAGAAAACGCAUCGGUGAAUACCCGGUGUGGAUGACGGUACCGUAAGAAGAAGCACCGGCUAACUACGU